rnacentral:rRNA from 1 species
GACGAGGGGUCCAAGCGUUGUUCGGAAUCAUUGGGCGUAAAGCGGGUGUAGGCGGCUCUAUAAGUCAGGAGUGAAAGCCCCGAGCUUAACUUGGGAAGUGCUUUUGAUACUGCAGAGCUUGAAUGUGGGAGAGGUUAGUGGAAUUCCAGGUGUAGUGGUGAAAUACGUAGAUAUGACAUAGAACACCAAUUGCGAAGGCAGCUUACUACGGAUAUAUUGACACUGAGGCACGAAAGCGUGGGGAUCAAACAGG